rnacentral:misc_RNA from 1 species
ACAAUCUGAUCGAGAACACAUCGGAAUUUCACAUUUCUACGAAGACCUUGACAGGGGAAAAACAGCAACAACGGAUUCUUACGCAGAAUCAACGCACUUCUGUGGCAAAACAUAGUGGAAUUUUGACAUGAACACAUGUCUUUGCUUUGAUCGAAAAAUGGAAUCAAAUCAAAGCAAGUGAAAGAAUCGAAACUCCAUGAAAUUGGAGGAGUUGAACAUGAGAUUUG